UUCAUUUGAAAGAUCAGUUUGUAAACUCUGCAUACGGAUUUUAUUUCAAAUGUGAAAAGGAUCCUAACAUCCAAAUCAAAUAAAAAACUUUCAUCUCAAAUUUCACUGUUUGUUGAUUUUAUUUCUGUAAGGAUUAGCCUCUUUUUGUGCAGAUUGCAGUUUUUCAUUUGUCUUUUUAUAAUUUUGUAAUCUAAUGUUCAUCUACUUUGAUGCUUGCAGUUCUGGAGAUGCACUAUGAUGAGAAAUAGUAUUGGCUUGACUGAUUUAGUAUUGAUAGGUCAGUUUCUCACACAGGUCAUUAUCAUGGCAAACAUUUCACGCUGUCUAUGAUUCUGCGCAUAAUGGAGCAUGCUAAGCUACAAUAUGGACCUGGCAUACCAUCAGGUUAGGACUUCAAUUGUUCCUUCAUCAUAUCUUUACAAUGUUUAUCAUAGUUGGACACUUCUAAAGACCAAAUUUUGCAUUGAAAUGUGGUGCAGACACUAAUUUCUCAUUUGCAUUUGUAUUUGAGAAAUGCUACGGUCAAUUGCUAGUGAUAUGACUGAACAACUCUUAUCAUGCAUGUAUUGCACACAAUGGUGGACCCAUGCAUAAAAGCAGUGUAUACUGUAUAGUGAAUACAAUGCAUGCACAGGUAAGAUUUGCUGACUUGCUGAUUGAUAUAUGUAUUCUCUUUCUAGGAGUUGUGGGGUAUUAUCUAAUUCUAAGGACUUUAAGUAGGUUCUUAAUAUAGAUAAAAGUAAAUGGUCAUGAUUUAUGUUGCUCAGAAUUAAUGGUUGGUUGAAUAUUAUAGAUUAGUUUGUCACUGCUUACUUUCAAUAUAGUGUUAUAGAAUGUAAAAGAUGGUGCUUAAACUAUUAUAUGAAUGCAAAGAUAGUGCUUAAA